ACUUACACAAAACUUCCUUACAAUAGAAAAAAGGACACUUCUUCCCCUCCUUAAUUCCAAAAGAAAAUGAAAGACUUAAACUCGAAAUUGGAGAUGGAGAACUUCCUAAUCAUGCAAGAAAAUGAGAAGUUGAAGAUGCUGGCUGAGUUUUUCAGCCAAGAGAAUCAGGCUCUUCUCAAUGAGCUCAACUACAAGCUCGCCGCUGCUGCUGCAGCUGGAAUCCCCAUCCCUCAUGAUCUCAAUAGGUCCACCUCCUCCUCUGCCGCCGCCACCACUAGCUCCUCAAAGACCAACAAGAAAUCCAACAAGUGAGAAUUAAGAAGGCCACACCAUGCUAUAUGUUUUGCUCAUCAUCAACAUUUAGUUUUCGUUUGUCUCAAUUAGGUUUCUGUUGAAAGUAGAUGUAAGGGUCUCAAUUCUAAGUUCGUUGUUGUUAUUAUUGUUGUUUAUCAGUCUUUUCUCUUUUGUUGUUGUUGUUGCUGCUGUUUAUCACUCGGAUUAUAAUUUGGUAAUGAAUAUUGAGUAAA